GACGAACGCUGGCGGCGUGCUUAACACAUGCAAGUCGAACGGAAAGGCCCUGCUUUUGUGGGGUGCUCGAUUGGCGAACGGGUGAGUAACACGUGAGUAACCUGCCCUUGACUUUGGGAUAACUUCAGGAAACUGGGGCUAAAACCGGAUAGGAGCUCCUGCUGCAUGGGGGGGGUUGGAAAGUUACGGCCGUUGGGGAUGGACUCGCGGCUUAUCAGCUUGUUGGGGGGGUAGUGGCUUACCAAGGCUUUGACGGGUAGCCGGCCUGAGAGGGUGGACGGCCACAUUGCGACUGAGAUACGGCCCAGACUCCUACGGGAGGCAGCAGUGGGGAAUAUUGCACAAUGGGCGGAAGCCUGAUGCAGCAACGCCGCGUGCGGGAUGACGGCCUUCGGGUUGUAAACCGCUUUCGACUGUGACGAAGCGUGAGUGACGGUAAUGGGUAAGGAAGCACCGGCUAACUACGUG
rnacentral:rRNA from 1 species